ensembl:misc_RNA Metazoa_SRP Metazoan signal recognition particle RNA
GUCGGGUGUAAUGGUUUGCACCUGUAGUCCCAACUGCUGGGAGGCUGAGGUGGGAGGAUGACUUGAGCCCGGGAGGCGGAGGCUGCAGUGAGCUGUGUUCGAGCCACUGCACUCCAGCCUGGGUGACAGAGCCAGAUCCUGUCUCAA